CCGAGUUUACAACUCCCAAACCCCUGUGAACAUACCACUUGUUGCCUCGGCGGAUCAGCCCGCUCCCGGUAAAACGGGACGGCCCGCCAGAGGACCCCUAAACUCUGUUUCUAUAUGUAACUUCUGAGUAAAACCAUAAAUAAGUCA
rnacentral:misc_RNA from 1 species